rnacentral:rRNA from 1 species
GACAGAGGUGGCGAGCGUUGUUCGGUGUCACUGGGCUUAAAGCGUGUGUAGGCGGCCAGGUAAGCGCGUUGUGAAAUCCCCCGGCUUAACCGGGGAACGGCUUCGCGUACUGCUUGGCUUGAGGCAGGUAUGGGUGCGGGGAACUGUUGGUGGAGCGGUGGAAUGCGUAGAUAUCAACAGGAACGCCGGUGGUGAAGACGCUGCACUGGGCCUGAUCUGACGCUGAGACACGAAAGCGUGGGCAUAAAACGGG